UUCAUAAUACCUCCACUCUCAUAGCAUCCUAUUUAAAUGCAAUGGAUAAAGGUUUAAAGGUUUUCUAUCUGUUAGAAGCUAUGUGCUCCCAUGUGAGGAGGUUCAUUUUCAUUUGAGAAAUCAUUCGUGCUUAAUGCAAACUGUAUACUGUUCCAUUAUUCACUCAUGAUUGGUGGGAGUGUAAGUAACUCUUAAAUAUGUUCCCUUAAUAAGGUAACCGCUCCUGUAUGCUUUUAUUUGUUUUACCGGAUUUCAUGUUACAUGCUUUUAUUUUGGUACUCUUCACCGGAAGUAACAAUCGCGCAUCUGAAAAGUAGGUCAAUUGAACGCAGCGCUGAAGCAGAGCACGUGUGGUAUGGAAAACGGAGUGUGUUCUGCUGUUAAAGGUUUAUCUACUGUUUAUUAAGCGCCUAGCUGGAAUUGGGAACAAGCUCUUACGGUGUUUUCCAAAGGUGUUUUCUGAAGGUGUUUCAAGGCUUUUCACGGAAUCUGCUGUUCCUGAGAACACCUCUACCUCUACCUCAUCAGAGUUUGAACCCCCACAAAGACAGAACCAACAGCAUAUCGCCAGUUUGUGCUCUGGCA